AACGAAUACUAUGUAUAUGGACAGGAUAGAAGAUACACACCAGAAGAAAGAAGAAGAAGAAGUUGUUUUGAGAAAUUUAUGAUCAGGCCUUUGCAGACUGAUAAACUUGGCAGUUAGAUUCUGAGAUGCGAGUAAUUUGACAGUUAGAUUCUGAGACGCGAGUUGCAUGGAAAUGAGCAAUGAAAGCAGAAGUUUUUAUGUCAAUUGCAGGAUCAGCAACCUUAAAUGGACCUUUACCAUCUUCAUCACUAGGAUACACCCUUCCCGUAUUAUGUAUAUCUUCAUGACUAUCAUCAACCCUUCGAGUCGGCUUCCUGGGCUUGAAUAUAUUAAAGCCGAAGAGAGAAACAGACUUCUUGGUUUGCCUGCUGUUGCCACUCAUGAUAUCGAAAAUUUCUUGCUCUAGCUAGCACACAAGGAGCUCUUUCUCUAAAGGGUUUGUUG
rnacentral:misc_RNA from 1 species